rnacentral:rRNA from 1 species
UAGGGAAUCUUCGGCAAUGGACGGAAGUCUGACCGAGCAACGCCGCGUGAGUGAAGAAGGUUCUCGGAUCGUAAAGCUCCGUUGUUAGAGAAGAACGUUGGUAGGAGUGGAAAAUCUAUCAAGUGACGGUAACUAACCAGAAAGGGACGGCUAACUACGUGCCAGCAGCCGCGGUUAUACGUAGGUCCCGAGCGUUGUCCGGAUUUAUUGGGCGUAAAGCGAGCGCAGGCGGUUCUUUAAGUCUGAAGUUAAAGGCAGUGGCUUAACCAUUGUACGCUUUGGAAACUGGAGGACUUGAGUGCAGAAGGGGAGAGUGGAAUUCCAUGUGUAGCGGUGAGAUGCGUAGAUAUAUGGAGGAACACCGGUGGCGAAAGCGGCUCUCUGGUCUGUAACUGACGCUAAGGCUCGAAAACGUGGGGAGCAAACAGG